CUAAUUUCUGUAAUUUCCUUUUACUAUCACCUUGGGCCUGGCUGACAAAUGCUGAGUCUAUCAUUCGGAAGUUUUCAGGAUUGAAAGGAGUGUACAAUCUAUUUGACUCAAGCAGUGUCUAAUAUGGGACUUCGGCAAGGCUGCUCAAUAAUAGGUUCCAGUCUAGGAGUAGUAAGAUAGGUGUAAGGGGGUGAGCUAAUUUUAUUAGUCGGCAUUUGGUGGAUGAAAAAACGUUUUUGUUUAAA